ACUCAAAGGAAUUGACGGGGACCCGCACAAGCGGCGGAGCAUGCGGAUUAAUUCGAUGCAACGCGAAGAACCUUACCAAGGCUUGACAUGCACCGGUACAGUGUAGAGAUAUGCUGGCCUUUUUGGCUGGUGUGCAGGUGGUGCAUGGUUGUCGUCAGCUCGUGUCGUGAGAUGUUGGGUUAAGUCCCGCAACGAGCGCAACCCUUGUCUCGUGUUGCCAGCAUUUGGUUGGGGACUCUCGGGAGACUGCCGGGGUUAACUCGGAGGAAGGUGGGGAUGACGUCAAAUCAUCAUGCCCCUUAUGUCUUGGGCUUCACGCAUGCUACAAUGGAUGGUACAGUGGGUUGCGAUACUGUGAGGUGGAGCUAAUCCCUUAAAGCUGUUCUAAGUUCGGAUCGUAGUCUGCAAUUCGACUGCGUGAAGGUGGAGUCGCUAGUAAUCGCAGAUCAGCAUUGCUGCGGUGAAUACGUUCUCGGGUCUUGUACACACCGCCCGU
rnacentral:rRNA from 1 species